AUUUUGGAACGAAACGUGAUUUUCGUUCUGAAACGGUUUAACGUUUUAAGCCGUUCCAGACUUGGAGCCGUACCACAAAAAAUAAUAAAAAUAAAAUAAAAUAAUAUUCCAACUCUCUCCCGUUCCCUCACCCCUCUCUCUCUCUCCCUCUCCAUCACUCCCCAUCUCUCUCCCGCUCCCUCGAUCUCUCACUCCCUCCCUUUCAAUCUCUAUCCCUCUCUCUCUCUCCCGCUCCCGCUCCCGCUCCCUUACGCCUGAUUUCCCUCUCUCCCGCUCCCUCACACCUGAUUUCCCUCUCUCUCUCUCUCUCUCUCUCUCCCGCUCCCUCAAUCCAGAUCUUCCAGAUCUGCAAAUCGUUGAAAUUUCAGCGUUUCUGUUCGAAUCGGUUGUGGAAAUCGAUAAUAAGGUUAGUGAAGGUUCAGAUCUCGUUUUAUUAAUCACGAUUCAAUCUCAGCUCUCUGAAUCGUAGCUCAUUUUCUGAUCUUCAGGUCUUCAUAAGCCCUAGAUCUGCAAAUCCACAGAUUACCAGAGGAUAGAAUACUGGAAUUUGGUUCCGUUUCCUGUAAAUCUGUAACCGGAUAAGGAUUUUAGGUGAAAUAGGUUCAGAUCUUAGUCCUGGAACAAGAUCUAUUGUUUUUUUUUUUCCCAAAAUUUUGAGUCUCCCUGUUAUCUAGAUCUGUAGAUAAACGGAUUAGGGCUUUCCUAAAAAAUCUCUCAUUGUAAAGAGCUCGAAGGAUUGAAAAAUCUGCUCCAGCACCAUCAUAUCUUUAGCUCGGAUUGUUGUCAUUCUAAGCUUUUAGAUCAGAUCUAAGAAGAAGAAGAAGAAGAAACCAUGUUCUAUGUAUUUCCUAAUCAUCUGUUAUAUGUAUUUCCUAAUCAUUUAUCUGACUUAGUUGUAUGCCAACAAUGCAAUUUCUAGGUGCCUGUGCAUCAUCCACCAUGUUCUUGCCAGAGUAUCAAGCUUUGGAUUGUGAUCAUGUUUCUGUUCUUGCUGAUUUUGUGAGUAGAUAAUAGGUCUGAACCCUCAUUUGAGAGUCAAAGCAGGCCUUGCAAACGAGUUGUGGCCCAACUGACAAGCAAACUGUCCAUCAUCCUUGGAGCUACCACCUGUUGCCAGGAUCUUGAUGGAUGGAGGAUAUUAAAGGUGGUGAGAGUAGCAUGAGAUACAGAGCAGGCGAUGUUGCUGCAAUGAAAGCUGCAAAGGAUGCUGGCGUGCUUCUGUCUUAUGAUAGAAUACUUUCCAGAUUUGUUAAAGGAUUAAUUAUGUUGAUAUUCUUGAAAUGGAGCAAUGCCGUGGAAUAGUUGUUGCAUCAGCUGUAUUUGGAAACUAUGACAUAAUACAACAGCCAAGAAAUAUUAGUGAGGCUGCAAAGGGAAAUGCUUGCUUUUAUAUGUUUGUGGAUGAAGAGACGGAAGCAUAUAUAAAGAAUUCUAGUGCACUUGACAGCACUAACAGGGUGGGAAUAUGGAGAUUUGUUGUCGUUCACAACCUUCCUUAAUGCUGAUCCAAGACGGACUGGAAAGGUGAGUUCUUUUGUGUACUUAUUUUAUUUCUUUUAGACUCCAGAUUAGAUUGUGGUCUAGAAGCAGUCUAGUUGUGUACAAAGCAUGCAAUUGCCGAAUAUAGUUAAUGACUAAAUCUUUAUAGCGUGACUGUAUGCAGCAGCAAUGUAUUUAGUAAUCAUGCAAGAUUGAAAAAUCAUAUUGGAUGUUGCCCAAUAUGGUACUAGAUUGGCUGGUUAUUUAUAACUGCUGUAGAAAAGGUGGGAAUCAUGCAAUAAGUGGGAAAGUAAUAGAAUCUUUCAAAAAAAAAAAAAAAGAAAGAAAAAAAGAAAGUUUUUUCUUCAGAGGCAGCAAAGCAAGAUUACAUCCAUGUGAGAAUGAGAAGGGGUCAAGCUACUGAUAGUCACAGUCUGGUUGAGAGGGUAGGCAUUUUUUCUUCUCUUUGUGCCUUUUUCUAGAAUACCCAACAAUGGUUUUUGAAAUGUUUGGGAUUAUGACUGAUGGUUUUUGAAAACAUCUGUGCUAGUUCUGAUGGUGGACAUUUUUAAAAAUUUCCACUUUGACUUUCUUGGCUCGCUUUUUUGAAAUUCGAUCC